rnacentral:rRNA from 1 species
GAUGAACGCUGGCGGCGUGCCUAAUACAUGCAAGUCGAGCGAACAGACGAGGAGCUUGCUCCUCUGACGUUAGCGGCGGACGGGUGAGUAACACGUGGAUAACCUACCUAUAAGACUGGGAUAACUUCGGGAAACCGGGGCUAAUACCGGAUAAUAUAUUGAACCGCAUGGUUCAAUAGUGAAAGACGGUUUUGCUGUCACUUAUAGAUGGAUCCGCGCUGCAUUAGCUAGUUGGUAAGGUAACGGCUUACCAAGGCAACGAUGCGUAGCCGACCUGAGAGGGUGAUCGGCCACACUGGAACUGAGACACGGUCCAGACUCCUACGGGAGGCAGCAGUAGGGAAUCUUCCGCAAUGGGCGAAAGCCUGACGGAGCAACGCCGCGUGAGUGAUGAAGGUCUUCGGAUCGUAAAACCCUGUUAUUAGGGAAGAACAAAUGUGUAAGUAACUAUGCACAUCUUGACGGUACCUAAUCAGAAAGCCACGGCUAACUACGUG